ACAGGGCUCACAAGCAACAAGGGUGAGAAUCAAAGGGCCAUGAAGCUGCCUGGAGGAGUUCAGAGGCCUGGCCCAGAGAAGCCCAGAGUGUCUGGCCAGCACUGACAGUCGGAGAUGCCAGAGUUCCCAGCUGUCUUAUCUGCUGGGUGAAGCUGUUCUCCCUCUCACUCUGUUUGUGAUCUGGGCCAUGUGCCCAUCCAUCCCACUGGCUCCGGCAGUCAGUUAACAGAGAAGUCAAAGACAGUGCCGGGCACCAUGGGGAACAGAAACAAGUGCUGGGAGGCCUAACCACUACCUCUUCUAUGCCACCAGAUGCCAGGGCUAAGCCCACCGAUGCUCACUGCUACCGUUCCUGAGGUGUUGUCACACAGAGGAAGCCAGUGCCUGGGACCAAGAUCAAAGACCACCUGAUAGUCUUCUCCCUGUUAUGACCUGGAAAUUCCACCAGCUUGACACUGUUGUGUGUUUAAGUCAACAACCAAUGGCUUUCCAUCUGGCCUGCAGUAAAAGCUAAAACCCUUAAAAUUCCGAUAAUGUUCUUGGUGAUUUGCUACUCUACACAUUAUCCUCCAUCCCUCCUACUUGACAUUCUCACCUGCAAGUCUUCUCAAAUCUAAACUGGAGUUUCUCACUCUUAACAUUUGGGGCAGGAUAAUUCUUUGGAGGUGGGGGGAGCUGUAUAAUGCAUUGUAGGAGGCUGAGCAGUACCCCUGACCUCUACCCA